GAAGGGGGCUGGGCGACCGCUCGCCAUCGGCGGGAGGAAAGUCCGGGCUCCACAGGGCAAGGUGGUGGGUAACUCCCACCGUUCGUGAGAAUAGGGAAAGUGCCACAGAGAAGAGACCGCCGGCGGCCCUCACGGUCCUCGGCAAGGGUGAAACGGCGAGGUAAGAGCUCACCGCGGGAUCGGGGACGAUCCCGGCAGGGCAAACCCCACCUGGAGAAAGGCCGCAUAGGAGGAUCGGGCGCGGCCCGUGCAUGGUCCUCGGGUAGGCCGUUCGAGGCCGACGGCAACGUCGGUCCCAGAGAAAUGGUCGUCACCGCGGUUCGCCGCGGGACCAGAACCCGGCUUACGGCCCCCUUCCACU
rnacentral:RNase_P_RNA from 2 species